rnacentral:rRNA from 1 species
GCAUAUCAAAAAAGCGGAGGAAAAGAAACCAACAGGGAUUGCCUUAGUAGCGGCGAGUGAAGCGGCAAAAGCUCAAAUUUGAAAUCUGGCACUUUCAGUGUCCGAGUUGUAAUUUGAAGAAGGUAUCUUUGGGUCUGGCUCUUGUCUAUGUUUCUUGGAACAGAACGUCACAGAGGGUGAGAAUCCCGUGCGAUGAGAUGUCCCAGACCUAUGUAAAGUUCCUUCGAAGAGUCGAGUUGUUUGGGAAUGCAGCUCUAAGUGGGUGGUAAAUUCCAUCUAAAGCUAAAUAUUGGCGAGAGACCGAUAGCGAACAAGUACAGUGAUGGAAAGAUGAAAAGAACUUUGAAAAGAGAGUGAAAAAGUACGUGAAAUUGUUGAAAGGGAAGGGCUUGAGAUCAGACUUGGUAUUUUGUAUGUUACUCUCUCGGGGGUGGCCUCUACAGUUUACCGGGCCAGCAUCAGUUUGAGCGGUAGGAUAAGUGCAAAGAAAUGUGGCACUGCUUCGGUAGUGUGUUAUAGUCUUUGUCGAUACUGCCAGCUUAGACUGAGGACUGCGGCUUCGGCCUAGGAUGUUGGCAUAAUGAUCUUAAGUCGCCCGUCUUGAACCACGGACCA